UACGGAGGGUGCGAGCGUUGUCCGGAAUCAUUGGGCGUAAAGGGCGCGUAGGCGGCUCGCCAAGCGGGCGGUGAAAGCCUGGGGCUCAACCCCGGGUCGGCCGUGCGAACUGGCGAGCUGGAGCACUGUAGAGGCAGGCGGAAUUCCGGGUGUAGCGGUGGAAUGCGUAGAGAUCCGGAAGAACACCGGUGGCGAAGGCGGCCUGCUGGGCAGUGGCUGACACUGAGGCGCGAAAGCGUGGGGAGCAAACAGG
rnacentral:rRNA from 1 species